rnacentral:rRNA from 1 species
UGACGACCGGCGCACGGGUGCGUAACGCGUAUGCAACCUACCUCAUACUGGAGAAUAGCCCUUGGAAACGAGGAUUAAUGCUCCAUAGUAUCACAGAUUCGCAUGUUUCUGUGAUUAAAGAAUUUCGGUAUGAGAUGGGCAUGCGUCCCAUUAGCUUGUUGGUGAGGUAACGGCUCACCAAGGCAACGAUGGGUAGGGGGCCUGAGAGGGUGACCCCCCACACUGGUACUGAGACACGGACCAGACUCCUACGGGAGGCAGCAGUGAGGAAUAUUGGGCAAUGGAGGCAACUCUGACCCAGCCAUGCCGCGUGAAGGAUGACUGCCCUAUGGGUUGUAAACUUCUUUUAUAUGGGAAGAAACUUAUCUACGUGUAGAUAACUGACGGUACCAUACGAAUAAGGAUCGGCUAACUCCGUGCCAGCAGCCGCGGUAAUACGGAGGAUCCAAGCGUUAUCCGGAUUCAUUGGGUUUAAAGGGUCCGUAGGCGGGUCUUUAAGUCAGUGGUGAAAGCCGACAGCUCAACUGUCGAACUGCCAUUGAUACUGGAGACCUUGAGUACAAAUGAAGUAGGCGGAAUGAGUCAUGUAGCGGUGAAAUGCAUAGAUAUGACUCAGAACACCGAUUGCGAAGGCAGCUUACUAACAUGUAACUGACGCUGAGGGACGAAAGCGUGGGGAGCGAACAGGAUUAGAUACCCUA